UACGUAGGGUGCGAGCGUUAAUCGGAAUUACUGGGCGUAAAGCGUGCGCAGGCGGUUUUGAAAGUCAGCUGUGAAAGCCCCGGGCUUAACCUGGGAACUGCGGUUGAAACUACAGGACUAGAAUCUGGCAGAGGGGGGUGGAAUUCCACGUGUAGCAGUGAAAUGCGUAGAGAUGUGGAGGAACACCGAUGGCGAAGGCAGCCCCCUGGGCUGAGAUUGACGCUCAGGCACGAAAGCGUGGGGAGCAAGCAGG
rnacentral:rRNA from 1 species